GAUGAAUGCUAGCGGGAGGCCUAACACAUGCGAGCUGAGCGGUAGAGUUUCUUCGGAGACUUGAGAGCGGCGUACGGGUGCGGAACACGUGUGCAACCUGCCUUUAUCAGGGGGAUAGCCUUUCGAAAGGAAGAUUAAUACCCCAUAAUAUAUAGAGUGGCAUCACUUUAUAUUGAAAACUGAGGUGGAUAAAGAUGGGCACGCGCAAGAUUAGAUAGUUGGUGAGGUAACGGCUCACCAAGUCGAUGAUCUUUAGGGGGCCUGAGAGGGUGCUCCCCCACACUGGUACUGAGACACGGACCAGACUCCUACGGGAGGCAGCAGUGAGGAAUAUUGGACAAUGGGUUAGCGCCUGAUCCAGCCAUCCCGCGUGGAGGACGACGGCCCUAUGGGUUGUAAACUUCUUUUGUACAGGGAUAAACCUAUUUACGUGUAAAUAGCUGAAGGUACUGUACGAAUAAGCACCGGCUAACUCCGUGCCAGCCGCCGCCGUAA
rnacentral:rRNA from 1 species